GUAAUAUAGGCUCCUCCCACAUAAGGUAUAGGGGACCUCUCAUUGGCUUAUGCAUUAUGGUGUUCCAUUACCUUCAGUCUGUGGGCACUGCACUGUUUACCACCAAACCAUUUGAAUCUUGGCUUUUAUGAGAAGAAUACAACAGUGCACGUUUCAACGGGGGAAAUAGCUUAUGGACAGAUUAAAUGGUUGUUCUGGUGAUAAGGUGCUUUUGUUAAUCUGAUGAGGUGACAGAUGCCUACUCCAGCAUUUAGGACAGCUGUUAGGGUUAGGGCUAACCCUAGCCCAACCAGUGUUGGAUGUAGAGGGGUGUCUUACAGUUACAGAACAAACGUCCUAACAACCCUGAAACAACCAGUUCCUUUCCCUGUGCCCUGUCCUUCUGUCCCUCAGAGACUAACAGGACUAUGAUCACCAGAUCAAGACAUGCUUAACUAUUAGCUAAUAGUGAAUACAAAGAGCCUAUAUAGUGCUGUUGCUGGUGUUAGUAUCUUUGUUUUGUUGCCAUUGUCGUUAACAGAACCGUACUUACUACGCCACCUCUCACUCCACUACAUAUUAAGGGAUACCUUGUUUUUAGACCACAGAAGCUGCAGGAGUAUCGGUCCCAAAUCACCUUGGAACAUCACAUGCAACAGUUGACAUUGUCGCCCAUUUACUCCAUAACAAAAUGCAUCUUAGUCUUGUUCCCUGAAAUGAAAAUGUUCAACAACAAAGCUCAAAGUUGGAGAUGGAUUUAAAAAUUUGAGGUGUGCUGAGAAAAUGUGGAGGACAUUUCUUUUAAAGAGAGUUUUUGGGUGGUUCAUAUGAGGGAAGAAAAACAGGUUGUGGGGAGAAUCCAAGUGACCAUAAGAGACCAUGCUUUGGUGAAUUGUUUGUCUAAAACAAUUUUGACCUGGAAUUGAAGUUCUUUGGAGUAAGGUUCCUGUUAUGGGUGUUAUUUUAGGGGUGUCGAUGGAUGGAUCUAAGGAUGAGGUUCCUGUUAUGGGAGUUAUUUUAGGGGUGUCGAUGGAUGGAUCUAAGGAUGAGGUUCCUGUUAUGGGAGUUAUUUCAGGGGUGUCGAUAUGCUUAACAUCUGUCUCAAAUAUUGAAUUUAGAAAAGGAACAAAGUUUGUCUUUUGUAAAUGUAUUUUUAAACAGAAACACUUCCCUACACAUGGUAAGCUAUGGUAUGUAGGGUAGUAAGAGUAUUUGUCACCGUGGUUAAGGCCCCGCCAGGCUGGCCGUGGUUAAGGCCC
ensembl:lncRNA